AGGACAAUACACCCAGGCCUGAUCUUCAGA
rnacentral:piRNA from 1 species